rnacentral:rRNA from 1 species
AUUGAACGCUGGCGGCAUGCCUUACACAUGCAAGUCGAACGGUAACGCGGGGCAACCUGGCGACGAGUGGCGAACGGGUGAGUAAUGUAUCGGAACGUGCCCAGUUGUGGGGGAUAACUGCUCGAAAGAGCAGCUAAUACCGCAUACGACCUGAGGGUGAAAGCGGGGGACCGCAAGACCUCGCGCAAUUGGAGCGGCCGAUAUCGGAUUAGGUAGUUGGUGGGGUAAAGGCUCACCAAGCCAACGAUCUGUAGCUGGUCUGAGAGGACGACCAGCCACACUGGGACUGAGACACGGCCCAGACUCCUACGGGAGGCAGCAGUGGGGAAUUUUGGACAAUGGACGCAAGUCUGAUCCAGCCAUGCCGCGUGCGGGAAGAAGGCCUUCGGGUUGUAAACCGCUUUUGUCAGGGAAGAAACGCUCUGGGUUAAUACCUCGGGGUAAUGACGGUACCUGAAGAAUAAGCACCGGCUAACUACGUACCAGCAGCCGCAGUAA